GCGUGCAGGCUCGAGGUGGGCGGCGACGGCGGCGACCUCCAUCUUCCGGCCCGGGCGCCCGCCGCCUCCUGCCUGCGCCUGUCAGGCCCGCGCGGCCCUCGAGGCCCCUCCCCGCCGAGGCCCUGAGGAAAGCCUCGAGAGCCUUCCAGAACCUUCCACGGCCUGAGGCGCCUGAGUAGAAGGGGAAAAAUUUUUAAUGAAAGCCAAACAGACUUCUGAGAAGGGUGGAUCUUGUCAAAGAAUGUUCCCUCACGGACUCUGCCAGUCAUUUGUGCUGCUUCAGAAGUAGACCCUUUGGUGCAACUAGAGCCCCCUCCAGCUACCCUGGGUAGACCCCCACCUCACCACCACGCCUCACCCCUGGGCACCAGGACUCUUCUCCAUCUUCGUCAUCCUGAGAAUGUUCUACAGAAGCGACAGUGCAGCACGGAACCUUUGGAGCUGCGUUUCUCUUACUCAGCGCAACACCUGGGAGAUGCCUCCAAACCCUCGAGUGUAUCAGGACUGCCUUCCUUUCUGUUACCAAGCAGUAUUCCAUGCUGUGCGUGUGCCGGAUAAUCUCCCUAUCUUAAGGUCCCUAACCUCAAUCCCACCUGCAGAGUCCCCUUUGCCAUCUCACAUGCUAUAUACGGAGUUUCCAGAGAUGAGCGUGUGGACAUCUUUGGGGCUCAUCUGCCCACUGCAGGGAUCAAGGGGCAGUGGGGGGCCUGAGUCACCUAGGCCUUGGAUGUACCAUGUCUGCCCCACAUCCCGCGGGUCCAAACAUACCCACCCAGCUAUGCCUAGGUGCAGGCCGGCUGGGAGAGUUGUCCUUAUUCUGGGGGCCACAUGCCUAAUCAAGAAUGGGGUUCUUGGGCUUCCCUGGUGGCGCAGUGGUUGAGAGCCCGCCUUCCGAUGCAGGGGACGCGGGUCCGUGCCCCGGUCCGGGGAGAUCCCACGUGCCGCGGAGCGGCUGGGCCCGUGAGCCAUGGCCGCUGAGUCUGCGCAUCCGGAGCCUGUGCUCCGCAACGGGAGAGGCCACAACAGUGAGAGGCCCGCGUACCACACACACAAAAAAAAGAGUGGGGUUCUUCUAUUUGAGGGAGAAGGGAUAUUGGAGGGCAGCUGACAAACUGUCACAGCAGAAGCCAUCCACACCUCACCUCUAUCCCUCUGUAACUCAGAGCAGCAUUUUUGUUACUUGGGACCCUUACCCAUAGCAUGUAAAAUAGAGGAGAG